CUUAGACUAAGACUAAGACUGAGGAAGGCUUUGCCCAGGGGAAGAGAGGGCACAUUUUAAGAGACAAAGGGGUGCCUCAUUUUGGGGACCCCAGCCUGGUUCUCUGGCUCCAGGUCACCAGAAACUAGCAGUAAGUCCAGCCUGGCCCCUGUCAACCAGAACACCCACCCUGGCAUUUGGCACUGCCACGGGUCCGUCUUUCCUGAAGGGACACCGAGGCACCAUGACCCCUUGGCCCACAGAGCUCAGACUCUGAAGUCAAAGCCACUCGGAGCCUGCCUUAUCUAGACAGUGACAGCCCUGCUGGGGACCAGAGGAUUUGAAAAUGGAGCAGCAUUAGCAGGGUGCUGAGAUGGCUGCAUUGAAGGGACAUUUCUUCAGAGGAAAGUGCUGAAAACGUAAAGGGAGAAGUCGGAACUGUGAGAAGGCCGCAGGGGAGACACCAAACCAGCACUUCAGGAGACGGGCCUCACUAUGCCCGGGGCAGGGACAGGGGAGGAAUAUGACUUUCUUCUCCCUUGUCCUCAGAGGGAGGCUGGGCACACAGGGGGACAAGUGAAGACAUGAGGGAGGGGCUGGCACUGGGCCCACAGGUGCUUCUGGAAACCGAGGAGAAGCUUCCGGGCGGGCCUGGGCUCUCCCCUGUGCAGCAGAGCUCAGCAGAGCCUCGGAGGAGGCACUGUAGCCUGGAGCUGUGUGGCCACCCGCUCUAGGCCACCAGAAUGGGACAUCUGAGCAGGCAGAGAGAGCCAGCAAGCACCCGGCAACCUGUGGGUCGGUGUGGGAGAACCACCGUGCUAGGAGGCAAAUGUCAUAGACCUAGGCUUGGGGCCUGUGAGGUCCACAAAGCUUAAGCAGGAGGGAAUGGACGACAAGGAACAGGAUGCAGAGUGCGGGACAGAACAAAAGUGGGGCUCUGAGGAGGAUGAAGCCACACCGCAGAGUGACCACAUGCCGACGAAGAGCAGCCUGAGCCAGAUGGGGCACCUCUGCGCCUCCUCGCCCUGAGGGUGCUCUGCGGGACGACUGGGUGCUGGCCGCCGGGGACCUCUGGAGUCCCCUCCUCAACUUCCCCAGCGCCCCGGCCAGGGGUCGAGGAGGAGACGGCGUUGCAUCGGGGCCCUGUGGAAAGGCUCCUGCCUCGCUGAUGCUACGAGGGGGUCGCUCUGAACCCCUCGUCUUCAUCUGGCAUCUGGAACUUCAUUCGAUAGGGAGGAAUUGGCUUCAAUUGGCUCCUGGCCGGCACAUUUUUUCCAGAGAUAUUUAUGUUACUGUGUUUACUUGGGAAAGCAAUUCUGUCAGCCUCCAAGCUCAGCGAGAGGCUGGUGGGAUGAUGGAUGUGGAAUUUAUUACUUACUGAAUAAGGCUUUAAAAAUAGAUGUUCAUCUAUUUCUGUAUAUUGAUCAUUUAUUUUUAAGAAAUAACAAUUGCCUAAGCAAGUUGGUCAAUUUUCAACCAACUGGAAAGAGAGGCAGCUGGUAUUUACAGUGCCUGAUGGAGUCACAGCCACCCGCUGGGUGUCAAGGCCAUAUAGCCAGACCAGGCGCUUCCCAAGAUGGAUCCCUGACACUCUGGGUUCUGGAGUUUGACAGCAGAGAAGUGCAAACUCCAGAGCCCCACAGCGGCCAGGCGCUGGAAGGACAGGGCAGGGCUGCUAACCUAUGGAAGGCCGGAGGGGCCCAGGAGGCCUCGGGUCUGCUCCCUGAUGCCUAGCACCACUGACACCCGGGCUGGCUAAUUCUUCUAGUGGCUGGACCCUGUCCUCUCUGGUUCAGGGUAGAAGGCUCCCUAACUGCAUCUGUGGGUAAGAACAUGGGCCCUGUAGCUGGAUGUCUAACUUCAGCAUGUGUUAGCGGUAGGGCCUUGGGCAAAGCUAUUCAACCUCUGGGUGAUUUGUUGGCCUCAUCAGUAAAAGAUGAGUAAUAAUCAUAUCCACCACAGGCCUGUUCUGCGAACUAAGUGAGAAAAUACAUGGAAACUGCUUCAAAUAGUGCACAACACAUCAUAAGUAUUCCAUAGAAGUUAGCUGCUAUUACUGUUUUAAGUUUAUAGUA